UUGAAUGUCUGCUGAAAAAUCGACAGAUAUGACUAAUAAAUUAAAAUCCUAACAAAUUAAACACCCCAAAUCAAAACCCUCACUUCUCUUCGAAAUCCAGUUCAGAAACUUCAUCUCCAUCUUGUCCUUCGUCGAUCUCCAGAAUCCAUGUCUCUUACACCAUUGAUGUUUAGGCCUCUGCUGAGGCUGAUAACAUCCUUAGCUACCGAUCCUGCUGCCUCAGUUUCGACGGUGCUCUACUACAGCGAGCUUCUUCCGCAGAACAUCAUCCUCGAAAGAUUGGUUCGACACGAACUGCUCGAUCGCGAAAAUUACCUGUUCCAUUUCCUCAUCAACUUUUUGAGAUGUUUUUGGUAGGAACUAUCAAAUUGUCGUUCUAUAUUCUAAUACAAGCUAAACUAUGAGGCGGGGAAUACAAACUUGAACGCCAUCCGAGUUUUUUUUCUGCAUUUUUGAAACCGUUAUUUAUUGGUGAUUCGUGAGCGUUCGAGUUGUAAUACGUGAGUUCAUAUCAUAUAAUGAGAUAUAUUUUACAGUUA